CCUGUAGCGCAAUGGAUAGCGAUUUGAAUUUCUAAUUCAAAGGUCGUGGUUUCAAAUCCCACCGGAUGGC
rnacentral:tRNA from 1 species